AGCUAAGUUCGGGAUCGAUAACCGCUGAAAGCAUCUAAGCGGGAAGCGAGCCUUGAGAUGAGUUCUCCCUGAUACUUUAAGUAUCCUAAAGGGUUGUCGUAGACUACGACGUUGAUAGGCAGGGUGUGUAAGCGUUGUGAGGCGUUGAGCUAACCUGUACUAAUUGCCCGUGAGGCUUAACCAUACAACACCCAAGGGGUUU
rnacentral:rRNA from 1 species